rnacentral:lncRNA from 1 species
CUUGGCCUCCCAAAGUGCUGGGAUUACAGGUGUGAGACAGUGCACCUGGCCGAAAUAGCUCAAGUUUCUGAAAAACAAAUCUGAAUCUAUUUGUUAUUCUUAGCGUCACUGGUCUGGCUUUCAGAAUUAACAUACAAGGUUGCCACACCUAGUUCUGCCCAGCUUUAUGUCUUUUAUUCCAGUAUUCCACCAAAGUUUGUUUUCCUGCAUUCCAGUUCUCAAGUCUUAAGAUAAAGAUUGUACUUGACAGUUUAGUAUAUCCAUAAAACUAUUUGAGGUGGUUAAGGUUCUUGGGUUCAUUUUCCUUAAUACUUUGCUGAAUAUUGUAGAUUGUAGGCAAUGAAAAAGUCUACUAAAUUAGGAAAACCUUGAAUAAUUAGGUAUCCUAGGUAAGAGCCCCUAAACAUCAAGCAAUCUGUGAGUCUGUAAAGAAAUAAAUAUUUUUUGGAUUAUUCUUAUCUAAUUCCACCCCUGUUGGAAGAUGAUUUCUUUGUUCUUUGCAACUAUGGAAGCUGUGAAAAUCAUCACAAGUGCCUCUGAAAGCGAGUGUUAGGUUGGUUAGAGGGUUUAAUAUUUUCUGCAAUGGUUUGUAGGAAUUUUAAUAAAUGUAGUAUAUUUUCUGAGAUGAUUUUGUAAAAGUACUAUUUUAAAUAUCAAAUCAACCAAUAAAUUCACAUUUGUGUUAGGAACAGAAAUAUGGUUUAUAUCUUUGCUGGCUUGGUUUCCUUUUUCUUAAUGUCU